CAUAGAACAAUAUUACAAUGUACACUACCGUUCAAAAGUUUGGGGUCACUUAGAAAUGUUCUUGUUUUUGAAAGAAAAGCAAAGAAAAAUGUCCAGUAAAUAACAUCAAAUUGAUCAGAAAUACAGUGUAGACAUUGUUAAUGUUGUAAAUGACUAUUGUAGCUGGAAACGGCUGAUUUUUGAUGGAAUAUCUGCAUAGGCGUACAGAGGCCCAUUAUCAGCAACCAUCACUCCUGAGUUCCGAUGGCACGUUGUGUUAGCUAAUCCAAGUUUAUCAUUUUAAAAUUAUAAUUUGAUCAUUAGAAAACCCUUUUGCAAUUAUGUUAGCACAGCUGAAAACUGUUGUGCUGAAUUAAGAAGCAAUAAAACUGGCCUUUAGAGUAGUUGAGUAUCCGGAGCAUCGUCAUUUGUGGGUUCGAUUGCAGGCUCAAAAUUGCCAGAAACAAAGAACUUUCUUCUGAAACUCGUCAGUCUAUUCUUGUUCUGAGAAAUGAAGGCUAUUCCAUAGGAGAAAUUGCCAAGACACUGAAUAUCUGAAGACACAGAAUGACACUUCUCAUUUUGGUGGGAAAUACAGGGUUACCCUGGAGAUAAAUUAUUUAUUCUAGAGAUGGAAUGUUUGUAAAAUACCUGGAAAAUAUUGUGUGUGUGUGUUCCAGGUCUGGGCAGUGUGGUGGAGUGUAGAGGUAUAUCCCAGGCUACGUUUUUCAUGUGUGUGAGCUGUGCUGAGACUCUCUCCAGUACACACAUCUGUGAACACAUCAUCAGCGCGCAACACCAGCAGUGCUACAUGGUGAGUGACAUCACUAGCAACUAUGAAAGUGUGUGUGUGUGUGUGUGUGUGUGUGUGUAAUAUGUGAAUGUGUUCUUAACAGUUUUCCCAGUAUAGUCCUAUGCGCUGUGAUUGGUUGAGAGAGCAGCAGCAGCCUCCGAGUCCACAGCUCCUCAGGAAGGUUGCUUCAGCACUGUCACAACUGGAGGUGGAUCUAGAUGCACAGGUGAUGCUGCUGGAUCAGAUGUGGUAUAACCUUGUGAAGUCAGCUCCAUUCUACGAAGCCAUGUACAUGCUGCAGGAACAGAAUCAGAAUGCCCUGUGUCUACACACAGCAAGCAGACAUCAGCUUUUUCCCCCAGUUGGUCCUGACCCAGCAACGGAGCAGGGCUUUGACCAGAACCACAGAGUGAUGGAUAAACUGACCAUGGAUCAGAUUGAGCCCCAUCACCCCCUGCAGACAGCAGAUACAGUGGCUGGUAAACUGACUGGAGAUCAGCUGGAGUCAGGCCAGUGCAUACAGACCGCAGACAGACGGCCAGAUAAUCAGAACCCGGAUCAGCCCCAGUGGAGCCAGAGCUCAGAGAGAACAGAGAUGGUCCCUGAGCCAAUAAGAGCCAAGACACCACAUAAUUCUGAGCCAAUCAGAGACCAGACACCACAGAACAUUGAGCCAAUCAGAGCCAAGACGUCAAAGAAUUCUGACCCAAUAAAAUUCCAGACACCACAGAACACUGGGCCAAAAAGAGCCUGGAUGCCACAGAACUCCUCAGAACCACAUCUGGACCAAGACAACACAGUCAUUGUCAAACAGGAGCCUGUGGACCCCAAGGUGGAACCUCAGCCCCAUCCUCAUACCCAGCCUGAGGUGGACCCCUUAAAGGAUUCCCUGUAUGGACACAGAGUCCAGUUCUCCCCAGAUGUACAGAACCUGGCUGGUGUGUGUGAGGUGGAGUACCAGGGGACCGUCCUAGCACACAGCCAAGAGGUGACACGAAUAGGAGGGGCCACAGAGAACUCCCUUCAACCCACCAAGAACUUGAGAGACUCCGUCAACAACAGCUUGCCUUUGGUCGGUCUCAGUGCAAUGAUAGAGUGUUGCAGUGAGGGCCAGGUGUCCUUCUACCUGUGUGUGUCGUGUGGCAGCAAAAUUGAAAAAACUCUACUCAUCAGCCACGUCCUCAAAUACAGACACCGACAGCUGUACCUGACAAUGAGGUACCCGUGGUAUUUCCUUGGUGUGGUACCAGCCCGAGGGUUGGCAGAACAGUCCAGACUGAUGCAGAUUGCUAAGGAGGUGGAGGAGCAGAACCAUGAUGAGCCUGGCACGCUACAGGAGGUGAUUCUGGCCCCUGCUGACUUUGCCGAGAUCAAACGGAUGCUGUUUGAUAAAGCUGUAUCCCGUUUGCAGGAGAUCUGUAGAGAGCAGAACCAGACUGAACUCCUCACCAUGGUCACCAGCAAACCUGAACCAAUAGUGGUCAAGCAGGAGAUUGUGGAGUGCCAGGUGGUCUCCCAUCAGGCCUUGGGGCUAUUCCUACCGCCACAGAGAUGUAGGAGAAACACGGGAAAACGUUGUUCUAACGUUGAGGGGUCAGAGGUGAGGGGUCAGCAGCAGGUGAAGAAGAGAAAGGUGUCCAGCCCCCCUGAGGGUCACACUGCCCCUGUCAUCUGUCUAUCAUCUCCUGAAGUCAUCAAGUCUUCUGAAACACACACUGUCAACCAGACACACAUCAUCACACCCUCACCCACACAAUCCAACACUAAGCCGAAACUCACAUACACACACUCUGACUCUCAAACUAAACUUAAACCUUCACGCACACACCCCAAACCCAGUUCAACAGCCCCAGAAUAUACUAGACCCAAACUCAUUCCCCAUUCUGCCACCAAGCCCUCCGGUAUCCCUGCCGACAGCCUGACUGUUGCCAAAGAGUCCUCUAGCAAGAAAGCCACUCACACACUGUGCAAACCCACACACACACUGUCCAAUAGCCAGAAGCUCACUGACAAACAUUCGGACAAGAAUGAGUCUCAGAAACAUACUGAAAAGGCUAAACCUACUCGCACACACAGUGAACGCACACACAGAAACCGCACACACACUCGCAAACACAGUGACCUCACACGCACUGACAAAGCCAAAGACGGACACAGUGACAAGACCAAACGCAGACACAGUGACCGCAAACACACUAACAGACAUUCUGACCACUCACGCUGUCACACCAGCUCUAAGAGACAUAAUCGUAGCUCCAGCCGUUCCUCCAAAGCCUCCCCCAGAGCUAGUCCCUCUGAGCCCCCCCUGCUCUCCCCCUACUCCCCCGCUGCAUUCUCCCCACCAGAGCCACUUCUGCGGCGAGCCUAA
ensembl:lncRNA